AGAUAAAAACAGUGGCAGUAUCGUAGCCAAUGAGGUUUAUCCAAGGCGCGAUUAUUGCUAAUUGAAAAAUGAAUUAACUUGGGGCACCUGGGUGGCUCAGUGGGUUAAAGCCUCUGCCUUCGGCUCAGGUCAUGAUCCCAGCAUUCUGG
rnacentral:snRNA from 1 species